GUACACAAAAAUGCACAUAUUGUGAGCUCGAUGAGUAGGGCGGGACACGUGGUAUCCUGUCUGAAUAUGGGGGGACCAUCCUCCAAGGCUAAAUACUCCUGACUGACCGAUAGUGAACCAGUACCGUGAGGGAAAGGCGAAAAGAACCCCGGCGAGGGGAGUGAAAAAGAACCUGAAACCGUGUACGUACAAGCAGUGGGAGCCUCUUUAUGGGGUGACUGCGUACCUUUUGUAUAAUGGGUCAGCGACUUAUAUUCUGUAGCAAGGUUAACCGAAUAGGGGAGCCGAAGGGAAACCGAGUCUUAACUGGGCGUUAAGUUGCAGGGUAUAGACCCGAAACCCGGUGAUCUAGCCAUGGGCAGGUUGAAGGUUGGGUAACACUAACUGGAGGACCGAACCGACUAAUGUUGAAAAAUUAGCGGAUGACUUGUGGCUGGGGGUGAAAGGCCAAUCAAACCGGGAGAUAGCUGGUUCUCCCCGAAAGCUAUUUAGGUAGCGCCUCGUGAAUUCAUCUCCGGGGGUAGAGCACUGUUUCGGCAAGGGGGUCAUCCCGACUUACCAACCCGAUGCAAACUGCGAAUACCGGAGAAUGUUAUCACGGGAGACACACGGCGGGUGCUAACGUCCGUCGUGAAGAGGGAAACAACCCAGACCGCCAGCUAAGGUCCCAAAGUCAUGGUUAAGUGGGAAACGAUGUGGGAAGGCCCAGACAGCCAGGAUGUUGGCUUAGAAGCAGCCAUCAUUUAAAGAAAGCGUAAUAGCUCACUGGUCGAGUCGGCCUGCGCGGAAGAUGUAACGGGGCUAAACCAUGCACCGAAGCUGCGGCAGCGACACUAUGUGUUGUUGGGUAGGGGAGCGUUCUGUAAGCCUGUGAA
rnacentral:rRNA from 1 species